CUUUAGCUUGCUGGUGUUGGGCUUAUAGCAAUCGGAGUAUGGGCAUGGCUAGAUAAGGGAUUCUUUGGUAAUGUAGGCACAUUUGUCACAUCAUGGUACCUGGAUCCUGUAUUAUGGUUUGCCCUUGUCGGUGUCAUCAUCUUCUUCAUGGCAACGUUUGGUUGCAUAGGUGCACUCAGAGAAAAUAUUUGCCUUCUAAAAACGGUAAGAAAAAAAUAUGUUGAGUUCAAACAUGAAUAAAUUGUCAUGUUGCUGCAGGAACGCCCUUAGCACCAUACUUUCGCGCAUUGUAUGUGUGCAGAAACACCCUUUUAUAGUUGCAUGCAUAAAGGCAUUGCGCAAGGGCGUUCCUGCACUGAUAGGGUGCGCGAAAGUGUGAUGCUAAGGGUCUACCUGCACCGACAUGACGAAAUCUAAAGUGUGAUUGCCUCCAUAGAGGCAAGGGACUUUUCUAUUGUUGCUAGGCAACAAGCAGCAAAGCCGAAUCGAAUUCAGUACAAAAAAAUAAUGGGAAAAUUUAGACAGGCUAGUGCAAAUUACUCUGCCCAGAGUUGCAAGGAAAAUCAUAUGACGUGAUUGCUUUUGUUGUUUUGAGGGAUUAUGGCACUCUCCCAUUGAUAAAGCACUGUAUCUUAAUAAAGCAUAGUGAUUAAUUUUGGGACUGCUUAUUACGAUUGAUCACACACAAUAAAGCAAUGCAAUCAGUCAUAGAAAACAGCCCUACAAUCAACACAGGGCUCAGAUGUUUGUAUGACACACGUCCUGACAUUAUGACAAUUAUUAUGUCGUCAUGAGAUUUUUCACAACUCUGGACCCUUCAGUGUGCCUUGACGCUCAUAAUGCAUUGAUCGAGUUGUCUCGCCAUAUCUUAAGAUGGUAAAAAAUGUUGGGGAUCUUCACCCGUCAGAUGUUAAUGUGAUUAUCCUACAUGUACUGUCCUAUCAAAAUCUACACAUAGGAUAUCGUGCACUUGUUUUCACAUUCAUACUUGACAUCUUCUCAAGUUGAAAGGAUUGUAUUUUUUCAGGGGCUGUCAGUUCUGGGGGUGUCGUGGUGUAGCGGUUAUGACUCUUGUCUUUCAAUCAGAGGGACAUGGGUUAGAAUCCCAGCCGUGGCAUGUUUUCUUUCAGCAAGAAAUUUACCCACAUUGUGCUGCACUCAGUGGAAUGGGUACCCAGUUGGAUCAGUUCCUUUAAUACCCUGAGCGCUGGAAGUGGAAGGCAGCUCGAGAUAAAGCUGGGGUGACAAUAUUAAUAAUAAUGCACCUCUGAAAUGAUUAUUUCUAGAUAGAUGGCGCUAUAAAAAUGCCAAUUAUUAUUUAUUAUUAAAGGAGAAUGAAACUCUUGGAGCAAGUUCGCUUUUGUGAAAGCAGAAAAAUCAAAGAAUAAGAUCAACAAAAGUUUGAUAAAUUGAUAUUGAUUUGUUUUUCAUUGAUUUGUACAUGUACAUGUACA